rnacentral:rRNA from 1 species
GACGUAGGGCGCAAGCGUCGUCCGGAUUUAUUGGGCGUAAAGAGCUCGUAGGCGGCUUGUUGCGUCGUCCGUGAAAACCCGUGGCUCAACUGCGGGCUUGCGGACGAUACGGGCAGGCUGGAGUUCGGUAGGGGAGACUGGAAUUCCUGGUGUAGCGGUGAAAUGCGCAGAUAUCAGGAGGAACACCGGUGGCGAAGGCGGGUCUCUGGGCCGAUACUGACGCUGAGGAGCGAAAGCGUGGGGAGCGAACAGG